rnacentral:rRNA from 1 species
UACGAAGGGGGCGAGCGUUGUUCGGAAUUACUGGGCGUAAAGGGCUUGCAGGCGGCCGACUAAGUCAGACGUGAAAUCCCUUGGCUUAACCAAGGAAUGGCGUCUGAUACUGGACGGCUUGAAUUCGGGAGAGGGAUGUGGAAUUCCAGGUGUAGCGGUGAAAUGCGUAGAUAUCUGGAGGAACACCGGUGGCGAAGGCGGCAUCCUGGACCGAUAUUGACGCUGAGGAGCGAAAGCCAGGGGAGCAAACGGG